rnacentral:lncRNA from 1 species
AAAGUCAAUAUUAAAUAUAUUACUGUAGAAGUUUAAUAUGAAAUUCAAGCCAAAUCAAACAUUAAUCCGUAUUCCAGCCUACGAUAUGAUUAUAGAUUAAUCAAAUACUAAUAUCGAAGUCAUUUCAACCCUCAGAAUCGUCUGUACACACAGAUUAGACAUAGAUUAGAUUUUAAAGUCAUCUUAACAUUUGUUUACAUCUUUCAACGGCCAUUUUUUCUGUAUACUAUAAUACCUGAUUUCUAAAGUCUUUGUGAUUAAUAUGUAUGCUGAUAUGAACUUCUAGUCAAAUCAAGUGAACAUUAAUUAUUAUUCCAGCCUGCUAUAUGAUCAUUAUAGAUUACCCAAACGUUAAUGUCAAAGUAAUGUCAACCCUCAGAAUCGUCUGUACACAUAGAUUAGACAUAGAUUAGAUUUUAAAGUCAUAUUUUAAGAGACGAACAUUAUACAAUAUUUUGAACUUCUUUCAACGACCACGCGCCUAGCAAAUGCAAAAUGUAAAGGCAAAUCUGAUAAGCACACAACUAGCCGUAAUCUUCAAAAGAGGAAUCGGUGGUGUAUUGUUACGUUUGCUUGUCACGAAAGGUUUUAACUUGCAAGUGUCUUUUACAUGCACAGUGUUUGAUGCGGCAAGGGGGUUUAAUUGCUCUGAGUUUAAUGUUUUUAUGUGUAAUGUAUUUUGUUAUUUCAAUUUUGUCUUGUUAUUCACAGUAUUCUUACAUCUUACCAGACC